UUGAACCUGGCGGAAGGAUCAUU
rnacentral:rRNA from 1 species